GAGUUUGAUCCUGGCUCAGAACGAACGCUGGCGGCAGGCCUAACACAUGCAAGUCGAGCGCACCCUUCGGGGCGAGCGGCGGACGGGUUAGUAACGCGUGGGAAUGUACCCUUCUCUAUGGAAUAGCCUCGGGAAACUGAGAGUAAUACCAUAUACGCCCUUCGGGGGAAAGAUUUAUCGGAGAAGGAUCAGCCCGCGUAAGAUUAGAUAGUUGGUGGGGUAAUGGCCUACCAAGUCUACGAUCUUUAGCUGGUUUUAGAGGAUGAUCAGCAACACUGGGACUGAGACACGGCCCAGACUCCUACGGGAGGCAGCAGUGGGGAAUCUUAGACAAUGGGCGCAAGCCUGAUCUAGCCAUGCCGCGUGUGUGAUGAAGGCCUUAGGGUCGUAAAGCACUUUCGCCAGGGAUGAUAAUGACAGUACCUGGUAAAGAAACCCCGGCUAACUCCGUGCCAGCAGCCGCGGUAAUACGGAGGGGGUUAGCGUUGUUCGGAAUUACUGGGCGUAAAGCGCACGUAGGCGGAUCAGAAAGUUGGGGGUGAAAUCCCAGGGCUCAACCCUGGAACUGCCUCCAAAACUCCUGGUCUUGAGUUCGAGAGAGGUGAGUGGAAUUCCGAGUGUAGAGGUGAAAUUCGUAGAUAUUCGGAGGAACACCAGUGGCGAAGGCGGCUCACUGGCUCGAUACUGACGCUGAGGUGCGAAAGUGUGGGGAGCAAACAGGAUUAGAUACCCUGGUAGUCCACACCGUAAACGAUGAAUGCCAGUCGUCGGGCAGUAUACUGUUCGGUGACACACCUAACGGAUUAAGCAUUCCGCCUGGGGAGUACGGUCGCAAGAUUAAAACUCAAAGGAAU
rnacentral:rRNA from 1 species